rnacentral:lncRNA from 1 species
GGCUAUAGCCCACCCGGUUUUUGCCCAUUUUUCCGGUGGGGGGUCUUGGCGCCCCGACCUUCGAGGGCUGAUUUUUGGGCGCGGCUGUGCCCGUGGCCUAUUUUUGGCACACGGAGGCCACCCGCAAAGUCUGGGGCCAUUCCGAGUCCGGCGGACGAACUUCGCCCACGCCCCCCACCAAGGCUAUAGCCCACCCGUUUUUUGGCCAUUUUUCCGCUGGGGGGUCUUGGCGCCCCGACCUUCGGGGGCUGAUUUUUGGGCGCGGCUGUGCCCGUGGCCUAAUUUUGGCACACGGAGGCCGCCCGCAAAGUCUGGGGCCAUUCCGAGUCCAGCGGACGAACUUCGCCCACGCCCCCCACCAAGGCUAUAGCCCACCCGUUUGUUGGCCAUUUUUCCGCUGGGGGUUCUUGGCCUCCCGACCUUCGGGGGCUGAUUUUUGGGCGCGGCUGUGGCCGUGGCCUAUUUUUGGCACACGGAGGCCGCCCGCAAAGUCUGGGGGCAUUCCGAGUCCGGCGGACGAACUUCGCCCACACCCCCCACCAAGGCUAUAGCCCACCCGUUUUUUGGCAAUUUUUCCGCUGGGGUGUCUUGGCGCCCCGAUAUUCGGGGGCUGAUUUCUGGGCACGGCUGUGCCCGUGGCCUAUUUUUGGCACACGGAGGCCGCCCGCAAAGUCUGGGGCCAUUCCGAGUCCGGCGGACGAAGUUCGCCCACGCCCCCCACCAAGGCUAUAGCCCACCCGUUUUUUGGCCAUUUUUCCGCUGGGGGGUCUUGGCGCCCCGACCUUCGGGGGCUGAUUUUUGGGCGCGGCCGUGCCCGUGGCCUAUUUUUGGCACACGGAGGCCGACCGCAAAGUCUGGGGCCAUUCCGAGUCCGGCGGACGAACGUCGCCCACGCCCCCCACCAAGGCUAUAGCCCACCCGUUUUUNNNNNNNNNNNNNNNNNNNNNNNNNNNNNNNNNNNNNNNNNNNNNNNNNNNNNNNNNNNNNNNNNNNNNNNNNNNNNNNNNNNNNNNNNNNNNNNNNNNNAGUGUUCUAUUUUGGCCCACGGAGGCCGCCCGCAAAGUCUGGGGCCAUUCGGAGUCGGGCGGAGAAAUUCGCCCACGCCCCCCCCCAAGGCAAUAGCCCACCCGUUUUUUUGCCAUUUUUCCGCUGGGGACUCUUGGCGCCCGACUUUCGGGGGCUGAUUUUUGGGCGCGGCUGUGCCCGUGGCCUAUUUUUGGCACACGGAGGCCGCCCGCAAAGUCUGGGGCCAUUCCGAGUCCGGCGGACGAACUUCGCCCACGCCCCCCACCAAGGCUAUAGCCCACCCGUUUUUUGGCCAUUUUUCCGCUGGGGGGUCUUGGCGCCCAGACCUUCGGGGGCUGAUUUUUGGGCGCGGCUGUGGCCGUGGCCUAUUUUUGGCACACGGAGGCCGCCCGCAAAGUCUGGGGCCAUUCCGAGUCCGGCGGACGAAGUUCGCCCACGCCCCCCACCAAGGCUAUAGCCCACCCGUUUUUUGGCCAUUUUUCCGCUGGGGGGUCUUGGCGCCCCGACCUUCGGGGGCUGAUUUUUGGGCGCGGCUGUGGCCGUGGCCUAUUUUUGGCACACGGAGGCCGCCCGCCAAGUCUGGGGCCAUUCCGAGUCCGGCGGACGAACUUCGCCCGCGCCCCCCACCAAGGCAAUAGCCCACCCGUUUUUUGGCAAUUUUUCCGCUGGGGGGUCUUGGCGCCCCGACCUUCGGGGGCUAAUUUUUGGGCGCGGCUGUGGCCGUGGCCUAUUUUUGGCACACGGUGGCCGCCCGCAAAGUCUGGGGACAUUCCGAGUCCGGCGGACGAACUUCGCCCGCGCCCCCCAUCAAGGCUAUAGCCCACCCGUUUUUUGGCCAUUUUUCCGCUGGGGGGUCUUGGCGUCCCGACCUUCAGGGGCUGAUUUUUGGGCGCGGCUGUGCCCGUGGCCUAUUUUUGGCACACGGAGGCCGCCCGCAAAGUCUGGGGCCAUUCCGAGUCCGGCGGACGAACUUCGCCCACGCCCCCCACCAAGGCUAUAGCCCAUCCGUUUUUUGGCCAUUUUUCCGCUGGGGGGUCUUGGCGCCCCGACCUUCGGGGGCUGAUUUUUGGGCGCGGCUGUGCCCGUGGCCUAUUUUUGGCACACGGAGGCCGCCCGCAAAGUCUGGGGCCAUUCCGAGUCCGGCGGACGAAGUUCGCCCACGCCCCCCACCAAGGCUAUAGUCUACCCGUUUUUUGGCCAUUUUUCCGCUGGGGGGUCUUGGCGCCCCGACCUUCAGGGGCUGAUCUUUGGGCGCGGCUGUGGCCGUGGCCUAUUUUUGGCACACGGAGGCCGCCCGCAAAGUCUGGGGCCAUUCCGAGUCCGGCGGACGAACUUCGCCCACACCCCCCACCAAGGCUAUAGCCCACCCGUUUUUUGGCAAUUUUUCCGCUGGGGUGUCUUUGCGCCCCGACAUUCGGGGGCUGAUUUCUGGGCGCGGCUGUGCCCGUGGCCUAUUUUUGGCACACGGAGGCCGCCCGCAAAGUCUGGGGCCAUUCCGAGUCCGGCGGACGAAGUUCGCCCACGCCCCCCACCAAGGCGAUAGCCCACCCGUUUUUUGGCCAUUUUUCCGUUGGGGGGUGUUGGCGCCCCGACCUUCGGGGGCUGAUUUUUGGGCGCGGCUGUGCCCGUGGCCUAUUUUUGGCACACGGAGGCCGCCCGCAAAGUCUGGGGCCAUUCCGAGUCCGGCGGACGAACUUCGCCCACGCCCCCCACCAAGGCUAUAGCCCACCCGUUUUUGG